ensembl:lncRNA novel transcript
UUGAGUGUCAACUUGAUUGGACUGAAGGAUGAAGUACUGUUCCUUGGUGUGUCUGUGAGGAGCAUGUUGAUUUGGCAAAGAACAGUUUGGCUUUGAAGAGGGAGCACCAUUUUGCCUGUUUCUCAUGUGUGAGCAGACGGACUCAGAAAGCACUGGUUCCAAUCCAGAUUUGCUGUUAAGCACAGCGCCCUCCACAACCAUCCAUGAAGUGGAGCAGAAGAACUUCCGCCUUUCAGAGCAAGCCUCCUGGGAUUCAUUGAUUUUGUAAUUCCUUGCCUCUAUUUGUGUUAUAAUACAUUGAAACCAAAGCUAGCAUUUCAAAAAUCAGGACCAAGUAUUUUAGUUACUCGGGACCAAGAACAUAAAGUUCCUGUGAAUGAAAUUAACAUAAGGACAGAGCCGUUCGACCAAGAAAAAGAAAAGUCCAGGAGAUUAAAGAUACAAUUCAGAUGAACUGUUACAAGGUAACUCCAUG